rnacentral:lncRNA from 1 species
CUUGGGACCCGCUUGCUCCUGGGCCCAGGAUAUAAGCUUAACCUCGCAGGGCUGGCCUCACCAACAGGGCCACGGCAGCAGAGACAAGCGCUGAUCUACCAGGCACUCUGGAUACAGAAACUGAGAACCGUGUUCUGUGCCCGGUGCCACGUUUCAAGAGGGACAUUAACCUAGAAUUUAUAGACACUCUGUGUGCAGACAAGCGUCCCCAACAUCAGAGUGCUCUGAUAAUAGAGCGGGCUGCUUUGCGAGGUGGCAAGCCUGCGCUUUGGAAGCGCCCAGGCGAGCGGGUGCCUUCUGUCAGCAGGGCUGGGACCGCUGUGAGGGGUUGGGAGCCAGACCAGAAGAUCUUUAAAGGCCAUUCCAAAUCCCAGUGAGCGGGGUCUGGGUCUCACUACCUUGUUAAUCUCCUGUGUUUGAAUCAAGUGGGUCAGGCCUUGCAGGGCGGCUGUGAACUUUGUUAGAGGGGAGAGCUGGAAGGGGCCGUUGAGAUGGGCUCUGCCGACCUGCUGGGCCCCGGGGAGCAAACAGGAGGCCAGGCUGGCUAAGGGGUGGCCCAAGGCCAGAGCCAACUCACGGGAUGAAUAUUUGAUGAAAGAAGGAAGGAAGAAAUGACAGCUCCACGAUGGGAACCAACCUGAUGCUAAUCAGGCAUCCCUUAGCCCACCUCUCUUUCCUUCCUAAGACUUUCCUAUCAAGAUUAUGAUUCGACCCGCAUUUACUGAGCACCCACUGUAUGCCCAGUGUGUUCACAGAGAUUGUUUCAGGUAAUCCACCCUAACCCAUCAGAUGAAUGUCAUCGCCCCCAUUUCUCAGAUGAGGACAGUUGGGUAACUCCCCCAGAGGGCACAGAACUUGUGGAGAUGUCACAAACACUAAAUGACAACGAAGGUCUGGCUAACUCCGAGGACAGCGUGCAUCUCCACCUGCUGCCUCUCGGCUGGAGCGAGGCAGCCUUGUCCUCUGUGUCCUUCCUAAAGACAAGCUGCCGGGGACUUGCCCAGUCCUCAGGGGCUGUUUCAGCCCUCCUGGCCCCUGUCCUGGCUCCCAUCGGGCUCCCGUGCCUCUCUCUGAUGGGACAAGACAGAGCGACUGUUUCCACACCAGCAGAUGUUCUGGGCCAAGGAAGAAAAGAUGCUAAUCGAAAUCAGCUUCAGCUAAUUGUAGCAAUUUCCCUUCUGCAUGUUGCCCUGAAAUAGUAGCCGCGCUCUGUUCGUUUUCCACAUCAGGGAGCCCCAAAUUGGCAGCGUAAAUGAGGUUGCAACGAAGUCAGUUAAACAGGCCUCUUUGCUGCCGGUUGCCAUGGAUGAGGCCUUGAACGUUCUCUGGGUAAGACCUUGGCUCAACUGUUCAUGGACUUGGCAUCUUUCUUGCUCCCUGUGGAUAAUUUGGACCCACUGUUGGGCUGGAAGAGCCCCUCUUAAUCCUGGGGAAAACCGGAACCUCAAGUGAUUUAAUGACUACCAAGCCCAGGAGCACACGGUCUGACCUUGAACCCUGGUUGACUUCUGAUUUGUCCUCUAGCCAGGGCUGGCCAAUAGAACUUUCUGCGUGGACAGAAGUGUUCUCAUUGACACUGCCCUGUACGGUAGCGGUUGAGUGCUUGAAAUGUGGCUAAUGGGACUGAGGGACUGGAUUUUCAGUUUUUACUUUAUUUUAUUGUAAGUUUAACUUUAGUGUAAAAUGGCCUGUGUGGCUAGUGGCCCCUGAACUGGAUAGUGUGGCCGCAGCCUGCCAACUUUUGUGCUGUCAUCUCCUGACCUCGUCCCCCUCCCCCAGCUUUCCCGCUCCCUCAGCAUCCACACCAGCCACCUGGGCCUCAUGCAAGCCAGGCUGUUCCCUCCUCGGGGUGUUGGCGCUUGCUAUUCCCUCUGCCAGCGUCCCCCUUCCUCUGGUCAUCUCCCAGUCUGCCCCUGUGUCACAUCAGGGCCUCAGAUCAAGUGUGUUUUGUCGGAGAGACCAUCCCUGCGUUGUCAGACAUUGUCCCCACCCCACUCCAAGUUGCUUCGUAUCUCUCUGAAAUCAUUGUGUAUUUUAGUUCAGGCUGCCAUAACAACGUGCCAUCAACUGGGUGGCAGGAAUUUACUUCCCGCGGUUCUGGAGGCCGGAAGUCUGAGAUCAGGGUGCCCACGUGGGCGGCUUCUGGGGAGGGUCUGCUUUCACGUUGCAGGUGGCCGUUUUCUCCUUGCCCUUCACGUGGUGGGGAGAGAGAGUGCUGGCUGGAGUCCCUUUUGUAAGGGCACUAAUCCCACUCACGAGGGCUCCACCCUAAUCACCUAACCAUCUAAUCACCUCCUAAUGCCACCACACGGGGGGUCAGGGUUUCAACACAGGAAUCUGGGGACGCAAGCAUUCAGUCCGGUGCAUUGUGUUUGUGUUUUCCUGUCUGUUGCUGUCUCCCUGGACAAGAGCUUCAGUUCCACAAGAGCAGGGGCAUGGUCCAUCCUCGUCACUGCUCCACCCUGGGCCUGGAACAGUGCCUGGAACAGCACGUGGCAGGCGGAGAGUGCUCAGCACAGUGUCUCGAGCGGGCUCUCAGGCACAGGUGAUGACAAAGAUGCUCACCAGCAGUUCUGCACUCAUAUCCUACCAGCCGAGCAAUCCUUGCAGAGAAAGACAGCAUUUUUUACCAGUAAUUCCAACAGAAGUCCCAGAUUUGGCCUGGGCUAGAGUGGAGUUGUUGGGAAAUAUGAGUGCUGAAGCAGCCAUUUCAUCACCAUGAGUGGGACUAACCGAGACUGAAGCCGACACGAGGAGGAAAAGUUGAAAGAAUCAGAAAUGGAAGAUGGAUCACGUGUCUCCCAGGCUGAGAGCCUUCCUCUCUGAACCCAUUGGAGAAAAGGAUGUUGUCUGGGUCGAUGGGAUCAGCCAUGAGCUUGCAAUCAAUUUGGUCACCAAAGGUUUCAACAAGGGGUCAACAGAAAUCAGCCAGCCCCCCAAGUCUGCUGAGCUGGCAGGAUGGAUGAUUUGAACACACUCUCCACCCCCAUGAAGAGACUCUCGUCCUGUCAGGGCACCAGCCUGGCAAUGGCAGGUGGAGUAACAGCAGCCUGGGGUCUGCGCCAGAGUAGAGGGAUGUGCAUUGUUCUAAGAUGUCACUCCAGUCCAAGAAGGAACUCAAGGAUAUCCAGCGGAGUUGGAGCAUUCUUUUCUAUGUAAUCAUUUGUUUUUAUGGUGCUGUCAUAAAGCUGCUUGAAAUUUUAGGAGAGAAUGGGAGAUGCUCCCAAAGAGAACGCUAGAAAGUGAACACAUACAGAGACAAUGGGAAUUCACACAGAGCGUUGCAUGCUCCGUUGAGAGAGGUGCCUGCAACAGAGCUGUUACUGUUCAUUGCCUUCAGUUUUUCAAGUCAGUCUACACUGCUGUGCAGGAAGAUGUUUCGGAAACACCCAGAGAGUCUGGGAACCGCUGCACGCGCGGCUGAGGAUCAGCUUGGUUUGCAGGGGCACAGAGCAGGCUGUUUCCAGGGGGCAUGUGAACCACUGGGCCUAUGGUUUUCUGAUUGACACGCUGCUCUGCACCAGUUGUUAAAUAUUCUGAAUGUCAUUCCAAUCUGCUGGCCAAUUUACUAUCCAGUAGGUGGUAUUGUCAGGAAGCUGGAGCUCCACGACUAAGGUCGACUUCCUUCUUUCCUCCGCAUGAGGCAGAUAGGACCACUCCCGAGCAGGUGGUGAAGUAGACAAGUCUGCAUAGGGG